AUUGAACGCUGGCGGCAGGCCUAACACAUGCAAGUCGAGCGGAUGAAGGGAGCUUGCUCCUGGAUUCAGCGGCGGACGGGUGAGUAAUGCCUAGGAAUCUGCCUGGUAGUGGGGGAUAACGUCCGGAAACGGGCGCUAAUACCGCAUACGUCCUGAGGGAGAAAGUGGGGGAUCUUCGGACCUCACGCUAUCAGAUGAGCCUAGGUCGGAUUAGCUAGUUGGUGGGGUAAAGGCCUACCAAGGCGACGAUCCGUAACUGGUCUGAGAGGAUGAUCAGUCACACUGGAACUUAGACACGGUCCAGACUCCUACGGGAGGCAGCAGUGGGGAAUAUUGGACAGUGGGCGAAAGCCUGAUCCAGCCAUGCCGCGUGUGUGAAGAAGGUCUUCGGAGUGUAAAGCACUUUAAGUUGGGAGGAAGGGCAGUAAGUUAAUACCUUGCUGUUUUGACGGUACCAACAGAAUAAGCACCGGCUAACUUCGUG
rnacentral:rRNA from 1 species